ACUGCACCCUUCAUUUGCAUUGUCACAUAAGAGUUAUUUAUCCGUGCAUCAUCUAAAUUCAAAGAACAUAUCCUUGAUGGACACAACUGAGCAAGAACAACAGGUUGUAACGGAAUGAAAGAGACAAGUAGACAACAGCACGACCUUCCAAUCCUCAGGGGCUGUACAAACUAGGAACUCAAAUCGUUUGCAUCUUUCCUUCCUUGCACACAAUCAUCUGCCCUGCAAAUAAGAUCACACAGUUACUAUCAUCCUUAAUGGUGCUGAGUAAAUCAAAUAGCAAGGACUAAUAAGAUGAGAAUUUACCUGCCAUGGCGUAGAAUUGAGGAGGUAAUUGGUUUAAGCAGCAUGGAGGUAGAAACCAGCAGAACCUAUCGAUGGCACUAUUGCAUACAAUAGAAAUCAACACAAGUCAGUAAAAAUCAAGAGAAGUGGACAACAUAAAUCAACAGCACAUCACCUGCAUUCUAGAACAUACUUUCAACAACUAUCAUACUGUAAAACUACAAGGCACAUCAGCCAUCAACUUGAAUUUUGCAGUGCUCCUGAAUUUAUUUGGGCGCUGGUACCCUUACUACUGGAAUGUAACAAAGGAUCAAUGGAUUAG
rnacentral:lncRNA from 1 species